GGGAGGUAGUGACAAUAAAUAACAAUACGGGGUUCUUUAGGAUCUCGUAAUUGGAAUGAGUACAAUUUAAAUCUCUUAACGAGGAACAAUUGGAGGGCAAGUCUGGUGCCAGCAGCCGCGGUAAUUCCAGCUCCAAUAGCGUAUAUUAAAGUUGUUGCAGUUAAAAAGCUCGUAGUUGAGUUUCGGGGUUAGUAAGUUGGUCAUGCCUUUGGUAUGCACUGGCUUUACUGAUUCCUCCUUCUUGACGAACCGUGAUGUCAUUAAUUUGGUGUUGCGGGAAAUCAGGACUGUUACUUUGAAAAAUUAGAGUGUUUAAAGCAAGCUAACGCUUGAAUACAUUAGCAUGGAAUAAUGAAAUAGGACGUUAAUCCUAUUUUGUUGGUUUCUAGGAUCGACGUAAUGAUUAAUAGGGAUAGUUGGG
rnacentral:rRNA from 1 species